GUCUCUUUUUGUGUGACAUCACUCCCACUUGCUUGACUUGAAACCAGAGGCGAGGUUUAGGGUUUGGGGAACAAGUCCAGGAAGCUGCGUCCACUGAUAAGACAAAAAACGUAUGUAGUUUUAAAUAACGUCUUUUGACUAAUUUCUCUCUUAGAAGUGAGUAUAGAAUAGGGGAUACGCUUCUGUUUGACGGUGACUACCUGCCCGUUGGUCCCCACCAGGACUUUACUGCAUGGUGUGUGUCCGAACACACCCUAACUCCUGGAAAUGGCAGGUCGCUGUGGACCAACGACCCUGCUGCUCUGGGCUGGGAUCAUCGCUUUGGCCAACUGUCAAACAGCAACUUCAGAUACAACCAAUGUUUCAACCACCUUACCUCCACGCACCAGCACAAAUUCCUCUUCAGCAUUCAGUUUACCAAACAGCACCUCAACUCCACGCACCAUGACAGAAACUGCUGCCAUAUCUCCAGACA